rnacentral:rRNA from 1 species
UAGGGAAUCUUCCGCAAUGGACGCAAGUCUGACGGAGCAACGCCGCGUGAGUGAAGAAGGAUUUCGGUUCGUAAAACUCUGUUGUUAGAGAAGAACAGCGCAUAGAGUAACUGUUAUGCGUGUGACGGUAUCUAACCAGAAAGCCACGGCUAACUACGUGCCAGCAGCCGCGGUAAUACGUAGGUGGCAAGCGUUAUCCGGAAUUAUUGGGCGUAAAGCGCGCGUAGGCGGUUUUUUAAGUCUGAUGUGAAAGCCCACGGCUCAACCGUGGAGGGUCAUUGGAAACUGGAAAACUUGAGUGCAGAAGAGGAAAGUGGAAUUCCAUGUGUAGCGGUGAAAUGCGCAGAGAUAUGGAGGAACACCGGUGGCGAAAGCGGCUCUCUGGUCUGUAACUGACGCUGAGGCUCGAAAGCGUGGGGAGCGAACAGG